rnacentral:siRNA from 1 species
UGAGGACCAAAAUAUCGUUGAUG